AGCUCCGAUAGCGUAUAUUAAAGUUGUUGCAGUUAAAAAGCUCGUAGUUGGGAUUGAAGGGGGGGGUAGUGAGAUCCGAAGGAAUUUGUGAAUUUCAUGCUCUCUCUUGACUCUUAAAUGAAUAAUGAAUUUGCUUUCAUUUUCAUUUAUUUUACUUUGAAAAAAUUAGAUCGCUUAAAGAAGGAAUUUUCUUUUCUCUUCUAUUGAAUAAUCUACCAUAGGAUAAUAAAACAAGACCUACAUCUUAUUUUGUUGGUUUUCUAGAUGAAGGUAAUGAUAAAUAGGGACAGACGGGGAUAUCAGUAUUUGGCUGUCAGAGGUGAAAUUCUAAGACCAGUUGAAGACUCACUACUGCGAAAGCAUUUAUCAAGCAUGUUUUCAUUAAUCAAGAACGAAAGUA
rnacentral:rRNA from 1 species